CUGGAACCCCGGGAUGCCCCCACCAGUACAAACCAGUACGGACCAGUUUGGGUCAGUUUGGACCAGUCUGAACCAUUUUGGGUCACUUUGGACCAGUUUGGACCAGUUUGGGCCACCUUGGACCACUUAGGAUCAGUUUGGCCCAGUUUGGCCCAGUACGGACCAGUUUGGCCCAGUUUGGCCCAGUUUGGACCAGUCUGGACCACUUUGGGCCAGUUUGGGCCAGUAAUUCCCAGUUUCCCUGGACCAGUCCGGACCAGUUUGGCCCAGUUUGGCCCAGUUCCCCUGGACCAGUUUGGGCCAGUUUGGACCCAGAAUUCCCAGUUCCCUGGACCAGUCCAGACCAGUUUGGACCCAGAAUUCCCAGUUCCCCUGGACCAGUCCAGACCAGUUUGGCCCAGUUUGGCCCAGUUGCCCUGGACCAGUUUGGCCCAGUUUGGACCCAGAAUUCCCAGUUCCCUGGACCAGUUUGGACCAGUUUGGACCAGUCCAGACCAGUCUGGACCAGUUUGGGCCCAGAAUUCCCAGUUCCCCUGGACCAGUCCGGACCAGUUUGGCCCAGUUUGGCCCAGUUUGGCCCAGUUCCCCUGGACCAAUCCAUUCCCAGUCCAUCCCAGUCCAUCCCAGUCCAUCCCAGUUACCGAACGCCAGGGGGGAGGGGGGGGCUGGGAUCAUUGGGAGCCCCCCCGGGACCGCCCAGGCCCCGCCCCCUUUAACA
rnacentral:lncRNA from 1 species